rnacentral:rRNA from 1 species
CCCGCACAAGCGGUGGAGCAUGUGGUUUAAUUCGACGAUACGCGAAGAACCUUACCUGGCCUUGACAUAGACAGAAUUUUCCAGAGACGGAAAAGUGCUAGUUUACUAGAACUGUCAUACAGGUGCUGCACGGCUGUCGUCAGCUCGUGUCGUGAGAUGUUGGGUUAAGUCCCGCAACGAGCGCAACCCUCGUGUUUAGUUACUAACAGUUCGGCUGAGGACUCUAAACAGACUGCCUGGGUAACCAGGAGGAAGGUGAGGACGACGUCAAGUCAUCAUGGCCCUUACGGCCAGGGCUACACACGUGCUACAAUGGGGUAUACAAAGAGCUGCAAUACGGUGACGUGGAGCAAAUCUCAUAAAAUAUCUCCCAGUUCGGAUUGAAGUCUGCAACUCGACUUCAUGAAGUUGGAAUCGCUAGUAAUCGUAGAUCAGCAAUGCUACGGUGAAUACGUUCCCGGGUCUUGUACUCACCGCCCGUCACACCAUGGGAAUUGAAUUCAUUCGAAGCGGGGAUGCUAAAAUAGCUACCUUCCACAGUGGAUUUAGUAACUAGGGUGAAGUCGUAACAAGGUA